rnacentral:rRNA from 1 species
GGCGGUAGGCCUAACACAUGCAAGUCGAACGAGUGGCGGACGGGUGAGGAAUACAUCGGAAUCUACUCUGUCGUGGGGGAUAACGUAGGGAAACUUACGCUAAUACCGCAUACGAUUGAAUGAGCCGAUGUUGGAUUAGCUAGUUGGCGGGGUAAAGGCCCACCAAGGCGACGAUCCGUAGCUGGUCUGAGAGGAUGAUCAGCCACACUGGAACUGAGACACGGUCCAGACUCCUACGGGAGGCAGCAGUGGGGAAUAUUGGACAAUGGGCGCAAGCCUGAUCCAGCCAUACCGCGUGGGUGAAGAAGGCCUUCGGGUUGUAAAGCCCUUUUGUUGGGAAAGCGGUACCCAAAGAAUAAGCACCGGCUAACUUCGUGCCAGCAGCCGCGGUAAUACGAAGGGUGCAAGCGUUACUCGGAAUUACUGGGCGUAAAGCGUGCGUAGGUGGUCGUUUAGGUCCGUUGUGAAAGCCCUGGGCUCAACCUGGGAACUGCAGUGGAUACUGGGCGACUAGAAUGUGGUAGAGGGUAGCGGAAUUCCUGGUGUAGCAGUGAAAUGCGUAGAGAUC